rnacentral:rRNA from 1 species
AUACGGAGGAUCCGAGCGUUAUCCGGAUUUAUUGGGUUUAAAGGGUGCGCAGGCGGCCAUUUAAGUCAGCGGUUAAAUCGUGGGGCUCAACCCCAUUCCGCCGUUGGUACUGGGUGGCUUGAUUGCGGUCGAGGUUGGCGGAAUUCGUUGUGUAGCGGUGAAAUGCAUAGAUAUGACGAAGAACACCGAUUGCGUAGGCAGCUGACCAGACCGCAAAUGACGCUCAUGCACGAAAGUGCGGGGAUCGAACAGGAUUAGAUACCCUGGUAGUCCGCACAGUAAACGAUGAAUACUUGUUUUCGGCGAUAUAAUGUCGGAGGCAAAGCGAAAGCGAUAAGUAUUCCACCUGGGGAGUACGCCGGCAACGGUGAAACUCAAAGGAAUUGACGGGG